GAUCCGUCUUCAGUGUAGGAGGAUAGUUGGCUACUUCAAAAGCAGUACCACUGCAAAGACAAGGCUGACACAGGUGCAGGAGCAAAUGAUGCCUACAGAGCCUGUGCUGAAGCUCAUUCAAGAGGUGGAGACACGCUGGAACAGCACCUUCCACAUGUUGCAACGAAUGUACAACCUCUACAAAUUAGCUAUAACCUUUCUCUGUACCCCAGCCUCAU